rnacentral:lncRNA from 1 species
CCUGUAGAACUCGUCUUUCUGGGAGAGGAAGCUAAUUGGCCAAGCAGGUGAAAUAUUUGCCUAACCCGGCGCCCUAUAAGUAGCCUCCUAGGAAACUGGGCCUUUUUUUUUUCUUCUAUUUAGACUGUAACUAUGGAGGUUGAACAGUGGGCAACCAGCUUAGAUACGGGAAACCAUAGGGCUUAUCGCGCACGGAUGCGCUGGGUAGGCAGGCCUGUUCCCCAGCCCACAUUAUUCAAGCAGGGAGUAGCCUUCUUGAGGACUGCCUGACAGAGCUUAAGCAAUAGGUCGGUCGUGCAGCAGAGGUGAUAUGAGCUGGUUGCCUGGUUAACCCUUCCUAGUUGAUGAGGGUAGAGGGGCGGAUGGAGAAGCAGCCAUCACAAUCUCACCAGCAACUUGCCUACUAUGCGCCCAGCCAAUGAAACGAAUGCCUCUUCUUCCCCAUCUUGCUGAUUCUAUCUGAAGUUUUGUGUUUGGAGCAUCCACUUACUCAGAGCUACCAUGUUCCAGGCAUUACUCUAAACAUCCAUUUAGUAG